UACCAGCACCCCGAGUGGUCGGGACGAUUAUUGGGCCUAAAGCAUCCGUAGCCGGUCCUGCAAGUCUUCCGUUAAAUCCAGCUGCUCAACAGAUGGGCUGCGGGGGAUACUACAGGGCUAGGAGGCGGGAGAGGCAAGCGGUACUCGAUGGGUAGGGGUAAAAUCCGUUGAUCCAUUGAAGACCACCAGUGGCGAAGGCGGCUUGCCAGAACGCGCUCGACGGUGAGGGAUGAAAGCUGGGGGAGCAAACCGGG
rnacentral:rRNA from 1 species